rnacentral:rRNA from 1 species
GGCCAGACUCCUACGGGAGGCAGCAGUGAGGAAUAUUGGUCAAUGGGCGAGAGCCUGAAUCAGCCAAGUCGCGUGAGGGAGUACUGCCCUAUGGGUUGUAAACCUCUUUUGUCGGGGAGCAAAAGCCGGACGUGUCCGGCUGUGAGAGUACCCGAAGAAAAAGCAUCGGCUAACUACGUGCCAGCAGCCGCGGUAAUACGUAGGGAGCGAGCGUUAUCCGGAUUUAUUGGGUGUAAAGGGUGCGUAGAUGGAUAAACAAGUUGGUUGUGAAAUCCCUCGGCUUAACUGAGGAAUUGCAACCAAAACUGUAGAUCUUGAGUACUGGAGGGGAAAGCGGAAUUCCUAGUGUAGCGGUGAAAUGCGUAGAUAUUAGGAAGAACACCGGUGGCGAAGGCGGCUUUCUGGACAGAAACUGACAUUGAGGCACGAAAGUGUGGGGAGCAAACAGGAUUAGAUACCCCAGUA